GUCAUGACAAAGCAGAUUUGCAGAAAAUCACGAGAUAGUUGGAUUCGCGAAAUAGUUUAAUUUGUUAUAAAACUUUAAUUUGUAAUAUUAUUACCACGUACCCUUAAUAUUUCGGAUUCACUGCAAGCAAGAACUUAGAUUGUGCUCAAUUCUAUUUGGUAUAGACCUACAAAACCCUUGUUAAACAGUAACUAGGCAAUCAGUGGAUCAAUUUGAAGGUGC